rnacentral:rRNA from 1 species
UUAACGGCCGCGGUAUUUUGACCGUGCAAAGGUAGCAUAAUCAAUUGUUCUUUAAAUAAGGACCAGUAUGAACGGCACCACGAGGGCUUAACUGUCUCCCCCCUCCAAUCAAUGAAACUGAUCUUCCCGUGAAGAAGCGGGAAUAAUAUUAUAAGACGAGAAGACCCCAUGGAGCUUCAAACUAAUUAUCAUCUACUUCAAAUAUAUCUAAUAAAACAGUAGUAAUGCUCUUAAUAGUUUUCGGUUGGGGCAACCCCGGAGUAAAAUAAAACCUCCAGGAUGAACGGACAAAAUCCUAAUUAAAGAAUUACUAUUCAACAACUCAAAAAUUUGACACUAUUGAUCCAACUAUAAAUUGAUUGAUCAACGAACCAAGUUACCCUGGGGAUAACAGCGCAAUCCAUUUCAAGAGCCCCUAUCGACAAAUGGGUUUACGACCUCGAUGUUGGAUCGGGAUAUCCUAGCAACGCAGCCG